UGAGUGAAGAAGGCCUUCGGGUUGUAAAGCUCUUUUGUCAGGGAAGAAACGGCUGAGGAUAAUACCUUCGGCUAAUGACGGUACCUGAAGAAUAAGCACCGGCUAACUACGUGCCAGCAGCCGCGGUAAUACGUAGGGUGCAAGCGUUAAUCGGAAUUACUGGGCGUAAAGCGUGCGCAGGCGGUUUUGUAAGUCUGACGUGAAAGCCCCGGGCUCAACCUGGGAAUUGCGUUGGAGACUGCAAGGCUUGAAUCUGGCAGAGGGGGGUAGAAUUCCACGUGUAGCAGUGAAAUGCGUAGAGAUGUGGAGGAACACCCAUGGCGAAGGCAGCCCCCUGGGUCAAGAUUGACGCUCAUGCACGAAAGCGUGGGGAGCAAACAGGAUUAGAUACCCUGGUAGUCCACGCCCUAAACGA
rnacentral:rRNA from 1 species